GGUCGUGACUAGCUCAACUGGUAGAGCAUGGUAGUAACAUUGCCGGGGUUAGGGGUUCAAUUCCCACUGGGACCA